AUGGUGUUGGUGUUUCGCAAAAAGUAUGGCCACUUGAACCUGACUUUUUCUAUUGGAGAGCAGAUCAGUUCUGAUAACAGAAGAUCCACACUAAACAUAGCAUGUCCAUCAGAGGAGCAAAUGUUGUUUAUCACUGCAUCUCUUCACAUGUUGGCAAGCCUGAUAUCUAUGAAGGCACUAUACAAGGUGGUGGCGCCGUACCUGCUUGGUGCGGACAGGAGAAGAUGCAGGGGCUCCGCUUCUCGACCUCGUCGACAUCAUCGUGCCCCUCCACCGCUGGUUUUGUUACUCAGGCGGCACUACGGCUCUACUAUGGCAGGCCUGCUUGUGGCUCAGCUCGCAGCCUCAGUCGAUUUGCUCUGCGUCUCCAACCGUCCAAAGAUCCCAACCCUAUCAUCGUCUCCUACCACGAGCUCGGCAACGAGAUCGGACACGGCAAGUUCGGCUCCGUUCGGAUCUAUGCCGUUCAAGAGGUUCGUGCUGAUCGGGUGGGUGGCCCUGGUGAACUACGGCAAGGACUACGGCCGCCUCGUCGUCAUCGUCGACGUUGUUGACCAGAACAGGCUGCAUUGCUCUGUUAUACACUUAUACCACUGUUUAUUGGUAUAUCCCCAAGAACGUCGAGGACACGGUCCACCGCGAGGUCGAGAUCAUGCAACACCUCUCGGGCCACCCCGCCGUCGUCACGCUGAAGGCCGUCUGCGGUGGUUGCAAAUCGAAGCAGCUGAAAGGGACAAGGCGAUUGGGAGUCAGGGACUACAUAUCCCUCCUCUCCUUGAUUUUCUGUCCAAAAUAUAA
rnacentral:rRNA from 1 species